GCGGCGCGGGCGUAGUGGUUGCCUGGCCUGGGGGGGUCUGGCUAGUCCGCGACUUCUUCUGAGGUUCCGUAACCGAGUUUCUAAGCGUCUGAGAAGAUGUUGCAGGUUCAUUUGGAAAGUUGCCUCAGGUCGCUGUUUUAAACAUUUUGUUUUAAUUUCUAGUCCCCUGGGGCCGAGGAGGAAGGGGUCAUCAAGUCUCUCCCCCAGAGCCAGAGACCGGCCUGAACCCCCCGCCACCCAUUCUCAGCUGUUCAGGGAACCAGCCAGGUCCCCGGGAGCUUCUGGAAGAAAGUUUGAGAGGGCGGGUCCUUUUGAGUAGUAGUAUCUUGGAUUUUUGAGAGCUUGUUCGCCUUACUUGCCCAACUGGGAGGAUGAGUUGGUCCAUGGACACUCGUGGCGGAGUGAAGCUCCGUUGGACCGUGUUGGUGACCUCGUUUUGUACCUGCCCUCCAAUUUCGGCCUUUGAGCGGCUGUUAUCAAAAAAUUAAUUUAAAAAAUUUAAUUAAUGCAUUAAAGGAAGAAAAAAUAAAGGAAAAGUUAUUUCCCACCUGGAUAUAGGGAGUAGAAGUGCAGAAAUCUUUUUUAGAUUUUCUGCUUCUUGUGUACUUCAUUUGCACGUCAUUUGGUGUCCUUUGAACGUUGUGUGUCGAUUUUGGAGUUAAAAAACAAAGGCUCUGACAAGGUUUGCUCUUAAUAGCUAUUUACCUGGCUGCAAAAAAUUUUUGUAAGAAAAACUAGCUUUCUAGUCCAUUUGGAUUUUGAAAUGCCAUAAUUCAAAUUUACAUGUGUCAGAUUUUUCUUCACUCUUCUGUGAUAGAAAAAUCUGGCUGCCUUUGGUUCAGUUCUUUUUACUUAAUCCUUGAAAUUUGUAUCUUUUAAAGACUUUUUUUAAAGCAAGCUUAUAGUGUGAACAUAUAAUGUUCAACAUAAUGUGAACAUAUGUGGAGCAUUUGAAUUAGGGUUGAUGAUGGUGAAAGUAAAAACCAUCCACUGGAUGCAAAAUUAUAAAGCAUGAUACGAAUUCUCAAAUGGUUUGAGUUAGACAAGUCUUCUUCCUCUUCACUUAAUCAAAGCCUUACAUCCUUUCCUAAUAAAAGUGGGAAGUAAAUCCUGACUUCUGGAGGCAGAGCUCAAAGCAGCACACUCAGAAAUAGAAAAUUUUUUCAAAGAUUUUAUCUUAAAAAUUAGUGUGAUUUUCGUAUUUCACUCUAUUUAACAGGAAAAAACCAAACUUUGUCCCUAAAUCCUGAAGUAAAAUGGAUAUUCCAGAAAGAUAAUUCCUCUAUAUGAUUCUGUAUAUGCCCUCCCCACAUACACACACAUGCAUGCACACCCACCCUCUUUGUACCAUUUAAAAGGCAUGAAUUAUAUGUCUCAUGUUUCUUCUAAGAAAACACCAAUUGUUUCACCCAAUUUUUAAGGAUCUGUGAUGUUUAGAACUCAAAUUUUUUAGAAUUCGAGCUUAUUAGAACUCGGAUUAAACCCCUAAUUUUGCAGAUAAGGCAACUGAGGUUCAAAGAAGUUGGGAAUUGAAAUUCACGAGACUUUAAUGUGUAUAUAAGAAUAGGAUAUGAUAAAUUUAGCAUGAUUUUGCUGAAGGACUUAAAGAUUUAUGUUCAGGGAUCUGCAGAAUGCAUUUACUGAUAAUAAUGAAAUGUUGUAAAUAGCUUAAAUGCCCAACAUUGGGGAUUGAUUAAAUUACAGUAAAUCUAUGUGAGGAAUACUAUUUAGUCGUUUAAAAGCACAUAGUAGGGGCUGGCCUGAUGGUGCAAGUGCACGUGCUCCACUGCGGCAGCCCCGGGUUCGCUGGUUCGGAUCCCAGGCACGCACUGACGCACUGCUUGUCGGAGCCGUGCUGUGGUGGCGGCCCAUAUAAAGUAGAGGAAGAUGGGCAUGGAUGUUAGCUCAGGGCCAAUCUUCCUCAGCAAAAAGAGGAGGAUUGGCAUCAGAUGUUAGCUCAGGGCUGAUCUUCCUCACCAAAUAAUAAAUAAAUAAAGUAAAAGCACAUUAUAAUUAGAAGAAUACAUACCAAACUCCUAGAGAGAAGUAUAUUUAUAGGAGAAUUUUACUUUCUAAGUAACACAAAAAACGAAACACAAUUUUUGUAAUUUAAGAAAAGUUUUUAGAAGUAUAUGUUAAUAAAGACAUGGAUAUAUUUGUUACUUAGCCAACUAUCUCUUAUGCAUAUUAAUUUUCUUAGGAUGUAUCUGAUUUUUAAGUGACCAUGCUUCUAAUUAUUGUUCACGUGGCUGUGAAUGUAUUUUAACAAUCCUCCCACACUCCCCCAAAAUCAUGCUUUUCAUAUUUUAGAAGACUAUUUGAUGAUGGGGGAAAAGGUAGACAUGUAAUGACAAAAACAAGUACCAAAACAGCAUACAAGACAACCCUAAUUUUAUGUAUACAAAAUGAAUUGUACAUAAUAUAAAUAGAAUCCUAUAUAUGAUAGGUUCGGAGGAUAUAAACUAAAAUGUUAACAAUGGUUAUCUCUGUGUGAUAGAAUUACUGGAGAUAAUUAAGACAUAAAUAUACAUUUGUUAUACUCUUCUGGAUGUUCCAAACUUUCUACAGUAAAAAUCGAAUGUAUGUGUUGAGAGGCCUGGUAGGAAGGAAGACACCAAGGUAGUUUUAAUGACAAGCUGAGCAAUUACUGUUGUGAAGAAUAGGAGAUGACCUUAUAAUCUGUUUCUAUCUUUGCUCUGUAUUAUUCUACUUAUAUCACUACGAUGUGGUGUUUAUUUACUCUGUUUAUUUGGAUUUGAAGUCCAUUUUAUCGUGGUAACAUUAUGCAAGAUAGAGUGUAAAUAGUACUAAACAUGUUCUUACUGUGUGCUAUCAUUACCAAAAAAACAAGCUUAUUUCCUCCAUUAAAAAAAGUAAAUGCUCAAUUUUAAAUGCUUCAUUAUAAUAUUACCAUAUGACUAACUAUAUACUUGCAGUAUGCCAAACCUCAACCUUAUCACUAUCCUAAAAUUUAAAAUCCAAGAACUUACUAACAAAGACAUAGAAGGGAAAUAUAAUAUUAUCAAGAAGCCACAAUAUCAAUAUCUUUUUAUGAAUUCUUAAGAAUUAAGUCAACAGGAGUACUGUCAUCUUUAAAGUUUUUAUUAAAGACCAUUUCAAGAAAAGGAAUAGAAAUUAAUGAAUGAAUUUAAAAAGAUGUGCAUUAAACUUAGGCAAGUUUUGGUAUACCCUUUGCCUCAAUGUGUGGGUUUAUUUUCCCAAAUACAAAACUUCAUGUAUAAUCAAGAACUAUCUUUUUAAAGAAUCAUGAAACCACCCAUGAAUGUGAAUGCCAUCUAUUCUUAUAUUUAGUUGAUAUCUCUAGCACUUCAUUAUUCUAACUGUUGAGGAAAAAAAUGAGAAAAUGCUUGUGAUAGCAUCUUUAAACUGUGAAACACUCUACAAAUUAUUACUUAUUUCUAUGAAUAAAGCAUCAUUAUGAGUAAAUCAGUUUUAAAACACGAUAGUAAACUAAGACUAAGCUAAAUACUAACUUUCAAUAUGAAACUUUGUUGUUUAACAUUUCUAAACAGAAUUAUUAUACAGCAAUUACAAUUAGUCUCCUAGUUAAAACAUGAACUUUUUUUAACCUAACAAAGUAGUUAAAUGUUAUCAAGAUACUAAUCAUGAUGAUAAUUUUAAAUGACCAGUUAAUGCUGACGUUAGAAUCCAUGAGGAUAAAAGAAUGAGGAUACUAGUUGCAUAAUAUGGUUUUUGUUGCUGAGUAAGUAAUGUUUUGGUUUUCUUGACAUUUGAUAUUUUCGAAAUGUCAUCCUUUUCCUUUGCCCUCUUCUUCCUUCCUCCCACGGAGGCCCAGGAGACUCAUGACGUAAUCUUCAGAAAAGAACAGGAGAAAAUGUCUGGAGAGAAAAAGACCCAAUCCAGGACCUGCAUACAGAAACAGCUAGGGAGAUGGUUUCUUACGGUGGAAGGUGUUAAUAAACGAAAUUCAACUGAGUAAAUUUGAAGAUCUAAUUGACUUUGUUAAAUGAUUCAUUAAUCAGGCAGCAUCUCAUCUCACCAGCAGAAAAAUACUCUGAGGGGUUACACAAUGUGGAAGGCUUGUAUAGUAAGGAGAGUGGGACAAGGAAAGGAAGUCAUCAGCAAGGAAAACAUGAAAAUUCAUUGGAGGAAAGUGAAAGUUCAGGUGACAACAGCUUCUCAUUGGCUGAGCUGCAGCAGCUUCCAUUGGCUGGGCUUGUUGCUGGGCAAGAAGGAAGUCUUCCCGCCUCCUGCUGGAGUAGUAAAGUAGUUACAUUUCCUGUUAGGGAGUGCAAGAUCCUAUUUGAUUCCUCAUCUGGAGAUGGCACUUGGCUUUGACAUCUGUUCCUAUUGCAGGAUGGCUACAAACCAAGUUUCUUUUUUUCACGUUUUAGUUUUGCAUCAUAUAUAAAGUUGCAUACAAGGCAAGCUGUGCAAACACUAAACUCUGAAGAAAGCACAAAGUGAAGGCACUGGAACAUUUAAUAGGCUGUUUUGAAGAAUAAUCUUUGUUUAUUUUUCCAAGUUAAUGACUGAUUGAUUUGGUGGUGCUGGUUGGAUCAUCACACAUGUUGGGUUCCUGACCGUCUGUCAGAUUUUCGAAAUCAUGUAUUAAUUCAACAGAUAUUUGUAGAGCACCUGUUACGUUCCAGCCACCAUUCUAGGCACUGGGGACCCAGUUCUUGUGGAGCACAUAGUCUUAUAAGUUUUCUCACCUGGGUGUUUUUUCAUUACUCUAUGAGAUGUUAUCUACCUCUUCCCCCAUUGUUUCAGUUCAUUUGCAUCCAUUUUCCCAUGUUAGGAUCCAACAUGAUUUUGUAGACAACAUAUAGUUGGGUCUUAUCUUUUUAUCCACUCUGACAGCCUCUGUCUUUCAAUUGAUGUAUUUAGACCAUUGACCUUUAAAGUGAUUAUUGAUAUAGUUAGAUUGAUAUCUACCAUGUUUGUUACUGUUUUCAAUUCAUUGUUCUGGUACUAUGCUGCUUUUUUUGGUCUUUUCUUUUUCAGUCUUCUCUGUUGUUGUUUUUUUUUUUUGUGAGGAGCUAACAUCUGCCAAUCCUCCUCUUUUUGCUGAGGAAGACUGGCCCUGGGCUAACAUCAGUGCCCAUCUUCCUCCACUUUAUAUGGGAUGGUGCCACAGCAUGGCUUGACAAGCGGUGCAUCGGUGUGCACCCGGGAUCUGAACCUCGGGCUGCUGCAGCGGAGUGCAAGCACUUAACCGCCACUCACCUGGGCCGGCCCCUGUCUUCUCUGGUUUUAAUGGAACAUUUUAUAUAAUUCUAUUUUCUCUCCUCUCCUAGCAUAUUGUAUUCUUUUGCUAGGGCUGCCAUAAAAAAAUACCACAGACUGGGUUGCUUAAACAAUAGAAAUUUGUUUUUUCGCAGUUCUGGAGGCUACAAGUCCAAGAUCAAGGUGUUGGCAGGUUUGGUUUCUUCUGAGGCCUCUCUCUUUAGCUUGCAGAAGGCUGCCUUCUCACUGUGUCCUCACAUGGCCUUUUCUCUGUGCAUGCACAUCCCUGGUGUCUCUUUGUACAUGCAGAUUUCCUCUUCUUAUAAGGACACCAGUCAGAUUGGAUUAGGGCCCACCAUAAUAAUGGACUCAUUUUAACUUAAUCACCUCUUUAAAGGCCUUAUCUCUAAAUAUAGUCACAUUCUGAGGUACUGGGGGUUAGGGCUUCAACAUAUGAAUUUGUGGUGGACAUAAUUCAGUCCAUAACACGCAUCAAUUAUACUUCUUUUUUAACUUUUUUUGCUGGUGUCCUAGAGUUUGCAAUAUACAUUUACAACUAAUCCAAGUCCACUUUCAAAUGACAGUAUACUGCUUCAAGGGUAGUGCAAGUACCUCAUAAUAGUGUAUUCCCAGUUCCUCCAUCCUGUCCCUUAUAACAUUGCUGUUAUUCAUUUCAUUUAUCCAUAAGUGAUAAUCACCUACUAUACUGUUGCUAUUAUUAUUUUGAACAAACUAUCUGUUAGAUCAAUUAAGAAUAAGAAAAAUAAAAAAAUUUAUUUUACUCAUAUUGCUUCUCUAAGGUUUUUCCUUUCUUAUGUAGAUCUGAGUUGCUGACAUAUAAUUUCUCUUCUUUCUGAAGAACUUCUUUUAACUUAACAAACUCCCUCAAUAUCUGUUUAUCUGAGAAAGUUUUUAUGUCUCCUUCACUUUUGAAGGGUAAUUUCACUAGAUAUAGAAUUCUAAGUUGGUGGUUUUUUCUUUCAACACUUUAAAUAUUUCACUCCAUUCUCUUCUUGCUUGCGUGGUUUCUGAAGAGUAGUCCAGUGUAAUUCUUAUCGUUGUUCCACUAUAGGUAAAGUGGGUUUUUUUCCCCUGGCUUCUUUCAAGAUUUUCUCUUUGUCUUUUAUUUUCUGCAGUUUGAAUAUGAUAUACCAAGGUGUAGAUUUUUUUGUGUGUUUUAUCCUGCUUAGGGUUUUCUGAGCUUCCUGGAUUUGUGGUUUUGUGUUUGUCAUUAAUUUUUUAAAAUUCUUAGCCAUCAUUACUUCAAACCUUUUUUCUGUUCCUUUCUCUCUUUCUUCUCUUUCUGAUAUUCCUAUUAUGUAUAUGUUAUUCCUUUUGUAAUUGUCUCACAGAUCCAAUGUAACAUUCUAACAUUUUGAAAUGUCCAAAAAAUACUUUUUCUCAAGAAUAAAGGA